rnacentral:rRNA from 1 species
GCUUGUCUCAAAGAUUAAGCCAUGCAUGUCUAAGUAUAAACGACUUUAUACUGUGAAACUGCGAAUGGCUCAUUAUAUCAGUUAUAGUUUAUUUGAUGGUCCUUGCUACUUGGAUAACCGUAGUAAUUCUAGAGCUAAUACAUGCAUCAAGCCCCGACUUCUGGAAGGGGUGUAUUUAUUAGAUGGAAACCAAUGCGGGGCAACCCGGAAUAUGGUGAAUCAUAAUAACUGUCGUAUCGAGCAAUCGAAGCGCCAUACAAGUUUCUGCCCUAUCAGCUUUGGAUGGUAGGGUAUUGGCCUACCAUGGCUUUAACGGGUAACGGAGAAUUAGGGUUCGAUUCCGGAGAGGGAGCCUGAGAAACGGCUACCACAUCCAAGGAAGGCAGCAGG